CAGGUCACUCCUACGGGAGGCAGCAGUGGGGAAUAUUGGACAAUGGGCGCAAGCCUGAUCCAGCCAUGCCGCGUGAGUGAUGAAGGCCUUCGGGUUGUAAAGCUCUUUCACCCACGACGAUGAUGACGGUAGUGGGAGAAGAAGCCCCGGCUAACUUCGUGCCAGCAGCCGCGGUAAUACGAAGGGGGCAAGCGUUGUUCGGAAUGACUGGGCGUAAAGGGCGCGUAGGCGGUUCGUUGCGUCAGAUGUGAAAGCCCCGGGCUCAACCUGGGAACUGCAUUUGAUACGGGCGGGCUUGAAUCCAAGAGAGGGUGGUGGAAUUCCCAGUGUAGAGGUGAAAUUCGUAGAUAUUGGGAAGAACACCAGUGGCGAAGGCGGCCACCUGGCUUGGUAUUGACGCUGAGGCGCGAAAGCGUGGGGAGCAAACAGGAUUAGAUACCCUGGUAGUCCACGCCGUAAACGAUGUGUGCUAGCCGUCGGGCAGCUUGCUGUUCGGUGGCGCAGCUAACGCGAUAAGCACACCGCCUGGGGAGUACGGUCGCAAGAUUAAAACUCAAAGGAAUUGACG
rnacentral:rRNA from 1 species